UUAAGAGCUUCUAAGUGAGUGAAGAAGCAAAGUCUUAUAAGAGUUAUCCCUAUCGACAAAGUGACGGGAUCAUUCAUCAAGUCUAGCGAGAUGGGACAGCGGAAUUCUCUCGGAACACUCAACUCAAUCUCAGCAUUUUCGUUCCUUUGCGGUUUCCCUUCACGUUUUGCAGCUCUUCUUCUCCUCCAAGAAGAUAUCAUCAUUGGUUUUUUUGGAUUUGGUGAAGUGAUGGAGGCAACAAACAUAUAUGUUGUGAUAUUACUGGGAUUUGUUCAACAUUUAGGAGCUGAAAAGAAAAUUAUUAAAUUAGGAAAAAGAAACAUGAAAAUUAGAAUGUACGAAGAGAGAGGUUUGAAUUUUUUACCGUUGAAUGGGUACUAAAAAGUAAAAAAAAAAAAUGAUAAAUGCAAUUCGCAAAUGUUGAAAUGGUAAAAGGGUGCGGAUUUUGGAAGCAGAAAAUCAAAAACUGUGACCAAACCCCAACCCAUCACAAAAGGCGUCGUCAAUGUAAGGAUGGAGGACUAAAAUUCUAUUCGAAAAAAUUAAUUUUUUAUUU